GCGGGACCAGCGGGACAAACUACUCAUCCCAGCAUGCGUCGCGUGGCGAGCCACCCCUAGUUUUUUUUUUUUUCCAUUCCAAGCACCGGGCAAGUCUGACUGUGAGGUCAGGCUUUUACCGUGUUUUCUCGCCUCUAUUCUCUCCUGCGAGCAAGGGCUGGUUUUAGCUCCUCUUGUUUCGCAAAGUUAGUGUUCAGACCGCCAGCUGACUCCUGGGAAGAAGCAUUAAUGGAAUUUCCUCCAGUAUUUUCAUAGCAACCUUCAGAUGAAAGUGUAGAACUCUCAGCUCCUCCUGCAUCAUGACUGCCUGGGGCUGCCAUGUUCCUGCCUUGAUGAUAAUGGACUGAACCUCUAAACCUGACUGGUUGUUCUAUUUCUGAGAUCUCUGAGACCCAGCCCACCAGGAACACACAAAUGUGGAACCGAGAUAGGCUGAGGACUUAUUAAACAGAAUUCUGCUGUUCCUAUCCCAGGGUUGGACCAAUGUGUAGAAAAUUGCUUAUGGGAUUCUUUGAAUGACUUUUUCAUUGCGGGAAAUAUUAAAAAUGAACCUGCCAACCUUCCACACUCCUGCUUCUUUCAAGCCACCAACUCAAGAGAUCUGUCUCUGCCUCCUACGUGCUGGAAUCAAAGAAAUUACUUCACUGCCAUUAGAGCCUACUUCUUCAGGAUUCUGCUUAUACUGAAAACCAUGUGGGACAUCCAGCCUUGUGGACUGAACAACUUCUGGCUUCUUGGACCUUUCACUGUUAGUCAGCCAUUGUUGGACCACAGCCUAUAAGUCGUUCUAAUAAAUCUCCUACAUAUA